CCUACGGGAGGCAGCAGUGAGGAAUAUUGGUCAAUGGGCGCGAGCCUGAACCAGCCAAGUCGCGUGAGGGAAGACGGUCCUAUGGAUUGUAAACCUCUUUUGUCGGGGAGCAAAAGGCGCCACGCGUGGCGUUCCGAGAGUACCCGAAGAAAAAGCAUCGGCUAACUCCGUGCCAGCAGCCGCGGUAAUACCGAGGAUGGGAGCGGUAUCCGGAUUUAUUGGGUUUAAAGGGUGCGCAGGCGGAAGAUCAAGUCAGCGGUAAAAGUGAGAGGCUCAACCUCUUCGAGCCGUUGAAACUGAUUUUCUUGAGUGAGUGAGAAGUAUGCGGAAUGCGUGGUGUAGCGGUGAAAUGCAUAGAUAUCACGCAGAACUCCGAUUGCGAAGGCAGCAUACCGGCGCUCAACUGACGCUGAUGCACGAAAGUGUGGGUAUCGAACAGGAUUAGAUACCCGGGUAGUC
rnacentral:rRNA from 1 species